GAUGAACGCUGGCGGCGUGCCUAAUACAUGCAAGUCGAACGAAAAGACUCUGAUCUUGCGGGUUUGACGUGAGCGGCACAGGUGUGAGUCACGCGCGUAUCAUGAACCUGUAUUACUGGUACCAUUAGGAGACAGGGGAUAAUACACCACAGGAGCUACUGCCGCAUAGUGUUCGAUAGUGAAUGUCGGCUGUGGGGGAUGUACUCGAGGCGUAUUAGCUUGAUGGUAGGGUAGUGGCUUAACCAGGCUAUGAAGGGAAGACGACCUGAGAGGGUGAUCGGCCACAUUGGAACUGAGACACGGACCAUACUCCUACGGGAGGCAGCAGUAGGGAAUCUUCCGCAAUGGGCGAAAGCCUGACGGAGCAACGCCGAGUGUGUGACGACGGUCUUCGGAUCGUAAAACCCUGUUUUUAGGGAAGAACCACUGUGUAAGUAACUGUGCACGUCUUGACGGUACCUAAUCAGAAAGCCACGGCUAACUACGUG
rnacentral:rRNA from 1 species